UCGGGACCACAGCCUCCCGCGGCCCGCACCGGGCCAAGACACGUCGUCCAAGCGCUGA
rnacentral:ncRNA from 1 species